rnacentral:rRNA from 1 species
UGAGGAAUAUUGGUCAAUGGGCGGGACCUGAACCAGCCAAGCCGCGUGAGGGAGGAAGGCCCUAUGGGUCGUAAACCUCUUUUGUCAGGGAACAAAAAGCGAGUAUGUAUACUAGUCUGAGUGUACCUGAAGAAAAAGGCAUCGGCUAACUCCGUGCCAGCAGCCGCGGUAAUACGGAGGAUGCGAGCGUUAUCCGGAUUUAUUGGGUUUAAAGGGUGCGUAGGCGGCGGUGCAAGUCAGCGGUAAAAGCCCGGGGGCUCAACCCCGGCGAGCCGUUGAAACUGCAGUGCUAGAGAAGGCGAGAGGUACGCGGAAUGCGCAGUGUAGCGGUGAAAUGCUUAGAUAUUGCGCAGAACUCCGAUUGCGAAGGCAGCGUACUGGCGCCUGACUGACGCUGAGGCACGAAAGCGUGGGGAUCGAACAGGAUUAGAUACC